UGGGGAAUAUUGCACAAUGGGCGCAAGCCUGAUGCAGCCAUGCCGCGUGUGUGAAGAAGGCCUUCGGGUUGUAAAGCACUUUCAGCGGGGAGGAAGGCGGUGAGGUUAAUAACCUCAUCGAUUGACGUUACCCGCAGAAGAAGCACCGGCUAACUCCGUGCCAGCAGCCGCGGUAAUACGGAGGGUGCAAGCGUUAAUCGGAAUCACUGGGGGUAAAGCGCACGCAGGCGGUCUAUCAAGUCGGAUGUGAACUCCCCGGGCUCAACCUGGGAACUGCAUUCGAAACUGACAGGCUAGAGUCUUGUAGAGGGGGGUAGAAUUCCAGGGAGAGCGGUGAAAUGCGUAGAGAUCUGGAGGAAUACCGGUGGCGAAGGCGGCCCCCUUGACAAAGACUGACGCUCAGGUGCGAAAGCGUGGGGAGCAAACAGG
rnacentral:rRNA from 1 species